GUAGGUGGCAAGCGUUGUCCGGAAUUAUUGGGGCGUAAAGCGCGCGCAGGCGGCUCUUUAAGUCUGAUGUGAAAGCCCACGGGCUCAACCGUGGUGGGUCAUUGGAAACUGGAGAACUUGAGUACAGAAGAGGAAAGCGGAAUUCCACGUGUAGCGGUGAAAUGCGUAGAGAUGUGGAGGAACACCAGUGGCGAAGGCGGCUUUCUGGUCUGUAACUGACACUGAGGCGCGAAAGCGUGGGGAGCAAACAGGAUUAGAUACCCUGGUAGUCCACGCCGUAAACGAUGAGUGCUAAGUGUUAGGGGGUUUCCGCCCCUUAGUGCUGCAGCUAACGCAUUAAGCACUCCGCCUGGGGAGUACGGCCGCAAGGCUG
rnacentral:rRNA from 1 species